rnacentral:ncRNA from 2 species
GUUCUUCCGGACCGUGGUGGACUGCCGGAGCCAUUACGGCGGCAGGAGAGGAAGCCGGUGCGAAUCCGGCGCGGUCCCGCCACUGUCACCGGGGUGAACGACCCCCGGGAGCCAGGAACUCCCACCGCCGGUCUCGUCGA